AUGGGACGAGGCAGAGUUUUGAGUUACUUUGCUCUCACAAUGUUCAUUCAAUAUUCCUGCAGUCAGACACUGAUUGAGAUAGAUUCAGUGAUCAUCAAACCUGAUCAGUCUCAUAAACUGACCUGCACAGCUUCUGGAUUUAACUUUGGGAGCUCCUGGAUGGCUUGGAUCAGACAGGCUCCUGAAAAAGGACUGGAAUUUGUUGCAACUAUCGAGGAUGAUAGUGAUAGGAAGUUUUUCUCCAGUGCAGUUAAUGGCCACUUCACCAUCUCCAGAGACAACAGUAAGAAGCAGGUGUAUCUGCACAUGAACAGCGUGAGGACAGAAGACACUGCAGUGUAUUACUGCGCCCGACACACACAGUGAUACUUAGGGUGACCAUUCGUCCGGAUUUCGUCCGGACAGUCCGGUUUUAGAGCCGUCUGUCCGGACGUCUGUCACGCGUCCUCACUUUUUACAUUUUGUCCUCAUUUCGGACCCUCAGCCGCCACCGUUGCAUCAAUCGUCACAAAUCCCCGCCCAUUAUUUACACUUGCUAUUCUGCAAUGACAUACAGGCAAAGAUAGC